GUGGAUUAGAUACCCCGGUAGUCCACGCCCUAAACGAUGUCAACUAGUUGUUGGGCUUUUCGGAGCUUAGUAACGCAGCUAACGCGUGAAGUUGACCGCCUGGGGAGUACGGUCGCAAGACUAAAACUCAAAGGAAUUGACGGGGGCCCGCACAAGCGGUGGAUGAUGUGGAUUAAUUCGAUGCAACGCGAAAAACCUUACCUGGUCUUGACAUGUACGGAAUCCUUUAGAGAUAGAGGAGUGCCUUCGGGAACCGUAACACAGGUGCUGCACGGCCGUCGUCAACU
rnacentral:rRNA from 1 species